rnacentral:rRNA from 1 species
AUGAAGAUAGAAAACUUUUUAGAUGAUCGAUCUAUCUGGGAUCUGAUUUGGAAAGCUAAGGUACCACAAAAAGUCCGGAUUUUUGGAUGGAGGGUCGCUACUAAUACUCUGGCAACAAAGAGAAACAAGUUUAGAAGGACUAUUGAGCUGGAUGCCAUCUGUAAUAUUUGCAACAACGGCGAAGAGGAUGAGUACCAUGCGGUUCUUGCCUACACAAAGAGUAGAGCACUCAGAACAGCUAUGAGGAAAGAAUGGUCGCUCCCUGAUGAGAGAGACUUUAGGUACACUGGGAGGGAUUGGCUUCAGGUGCUCCUUGACACUGAACCUGUGGACACUCGCGCUAAUAUUCUGCUCCUUUUGUGGAGAUGCUGGCACUUGCGCGAGGACUGCAUUCGCAAUGUGGGCAAAGAAUCGAUUAUGGGAUCUGUGCAGUUCCUGCUGAGGUAUUCUGAAGAGUUUAAAUCAGCGGCAAUUGAGUGGUGA